rnacentral:misc_RNA from 1 species
GAAAUGCGAUAAUUAAUGUGAAUUGCAGAAUUCAGUGAAUCAUCGAGUCUUUGAACGCACAUUGCGCCUCCUGGUAUUCCGGGGGGCAUGCCUGUCCGAGCGUCAUUGCUGCCCUCAAGCACGGCUUGUGUGUUGGGCUUCCGUCCCUGGCAACGGGGACGGGCCCAAAAGGCAGUGGCGGCACCAUGUCUGGUCCUCGAGCGUAUGGGGCUUUGUCACCCGCUCCCGUAGGUCCAGCUGGCAGCUAGCCUCGCAACCAAUCUUUUUAACCAGGUUGACCUCGGAUCAGGUAGGGAUACCCGCUGAACUUAAGA